GCAGAAGAUGAAAAAAUGAGAAAGACCCAGCCCUAAAUGUAGGAAGUUACUAAUACAGUGGAAGAUGCUUAAAUGAAAGCAAAUAAUUAUAAAUCAAUAUGGCAAAUAUCAUUAUAAGCCAAGUGUCUCUUAUAUAGUCCCAUUCACAAAAAUACCCAACUCCCCAUGCUCUUUGACUCUAUAUAUUGCCUAAUACCAUUGGAAACAUGCUCCCAAAGGUUUGCCAGAAAUCCCAAGUGUGCUAUUCCUUUCUAGGAGUCAGUGGGUAAUGUAGUUUGCUCCUAGGAUCACAAGUGAUUGCAUUAGGAUUUGACUCCUGGCCUUAUCUGAGGCAAAAAUAUUUUUUCUUCUAGUAAUUGGGGUACAGUAUAUCUAGGUAUUUAGAUACUAUGAUAGGAAGUACAUUUAUGGGCAAUUGAAGCAGCCAUUUCCAGUAUGUAUACAACAAUCUGAAAAAACAGGUCUGCACAGGGACCUAUCCUUGUCUUAUAACAUUUUGCCUAAGACCUCCAGUGGAAGUGGUAGUAGUAGUGAUCAUUUUUGUCUUGGUCAUGACAUUAAAAUAAAUGUUUCUACUGUGUCAACUAGUUUCUGGUGAAUACCUUCAAUCAAUUUAACACUGAAAAAUCAAUUAUAAACAUAGAAUGUUGUUAAAUAACUUUAAAAAAUAUGUUGAGAUGAUCAAAUGGUCUUCUUUGCAUAUAGGUUUUGAAUAAAAUUAGUAUAUUGUUUUCUUUCUGUAUUAUCCUUAUUUCAUAUUGGAAUAAGAAUUAUCCUACCUUCUUUGAAAGAGAUGGGACAAUUUCUCAUUUUAUGUGCUCUGUAAAUCUUUCUUGGCUUAGUGGUUUGUUUUAGUAGUAAAUAUUUUAGUACUUUACAUGAUUUUAUAUGGUUAUUUUAUUAAGUUUUCAAAAAAUUUCAAAAGUAUUAUCUAGGUCUUUAAAUGUCUUCGUUGAGAUACAAUUCGGGUAUCAUAAAAUUCACUUAUGUAAAUAAUAUAAUUUAAUGGUUUUAGUAUAUUCAGAGUUGUACACUGUCAUGGGUUGAAUAGUGUCCCCCCCAAAAGAUAGAUUCAUCUAGAAUCUCAGAAUAUGACCUUAUUUGGAGUAAGAACCUUUGCAGAUCGAACUAAGAUAAGGAUCUUAAGAUGAGAUUAUGCUGGACCAGGCUCUGCUUCUAGUUAGCCCACCUACAGCUUCCUCACAUGGAUAGCCUUCAAUCUGGGGAGCUUCUGAGUCCUUGCUAGAGUGCAAGUGAUGGCGGCUGACUCACUUGCUCUAACAAGCCCUGAAUAAAUAGACCUUGCCUGUUUUUGUUUGGUUGAUUUUUAUUUAUUUCCACAGAAGUGUGUGUGUCUGAAUGCCACUCCUGAAUAGAAAUGUACUAAAGUCAUCAUUGAUAAUUACGUGGAAUUUGUAGAUUCUGUCUAAAGAGAUAAUGAGUUAAGGUUAAAUAAAGAUAUAAAAUAUAAGAUAUAUUUUGUACAAUUAUAAUUAUUUUAUCAGAUGUUUUCAGCUGCAAAUUACUGGAAAAAAACCUCAGUUUAAAAAAAUGAGUGGUUUUUUUUUUUUCCUUCAUAAGAGGGCCUGCUUCUUCCCAUGUGUUCUCUUUCAGAUCAAUGAGGAAAAACCUUCCUCCUUAUAUCUUCUUCUUAUGUUUCAUUUGGUCAGAAGGGUAUAGACUGGGAAGAGAAAUGGGACCAUCCUGCUUGACUUAAACCAAUUAUGAGUUAUGCCUCUGGCGCUGAAAGAAAAGGUCCAAUUUAUGGUAGCAGCAAAUAUGAUAAAAUACUCAGAAAUAAAUUUAACAAGAAAUGUAGAAGCCUCAUAAAAAGAAUAAUUUUAAAAGCUGUUGAGGGAAACAAAAGAAGACUUGGACAAAUGGAAGGGCAUACUUUGUUCUUGGACAUAAAGACUCAAUUUCACAGAUAUAAAUUUUAUACAUAACCUAUAAAUUUAAUGUAACUUCAAAGGAAAUGCUAAAAGAAUUAUUAACACUAGCAAAGAAAUUCUAAUGAUUAGAUGGGUAAAAAGACAUGAAAGAAUAACCAGAACAAAUUCUAAAAUUCAAAAACUAACUUUUUCUAGAAGAGGAGUGGUCAUCGGUACUGGGAAUCAGUUGUCCCUUCACUGGGCAGAAUUUGCAUGACUAUGGAAAAUAUCAUUUGCAUUGCUCUUGGUUAUCUAUAAUUUAUGGAGUAAAACAGCUCAAAGACAUGGAAAGGCUGAGAUAACCUGGGUAAGUGAGCUAGACAAACACCCACUAUCUUUUUUUGUCCAUUUCCAAGCAUUCAUGAUUUUUUCUGACAAUAUUCCCUGAUCCCUGCCUUGUGAUUAUAAUAAUUAUAAAAAAGAGAGAGAAAAGAUUAUUUUGUGAUUGAAAUAAUCCUGACAUUAGAUUUGGCUCGAUUAUUAAUUAUGGGUAAAGGAAGAAUGUUAAUUUACUGCUUAGAUUUCUUUAAAUUUGCUUUACCAAAUCAAGAGCCAUACAGUAUUGAAGCAUGACAAAAUUAAGUUCUUUUUGGAAGUUCUUAAAAUGAAUCUUACAUUGGGCUUUUCUUUUACUUUUUCUUUGAAACGGUGUCUCACCCAGGCUGGAGUGCAGUGGCACGAUCUCGACUCACUGCAACCUCUGCCUCCCAGGUUCACGCCAUUCUCCUGCCUCAACCUCCCAAGUAGCUGGGAUUACAGGCAUCCACCACCAUGCCCAGCUAAUUUUUGUAUUUUAUUAGAGAUGGGGUUUUGCCAUGUUGGCCAGGCUGGGUUUGAACUCCUGACCUCAGGUGAUCCACCCACCUAGACCUCGCAAAAUGCUGGGAUUACAGGGGUGAGCCGCUGUGCCCAGCCCUCACAUUGGGCUUUUAAAAGCCUCUUUUAUUUGUGAUCUUGAAGCUAGGAAAGCAAACCCAACAAACCCUACCCAAUAUCAACUGUAAUAUCUAUAAAUGUGUGGGAAUUUCACUCUUCUUGAGGUACUCCCAAUACCCUAAAACUGGUCAGCCAGGAAGAGACCUUCUUCACAUCUGUAAGGCCAAGGCACCCUGUAAGCCAGGGAAUAACUAGUUUUCCUAAGAAAGUUUUGUAAGGCAUUAAGUUUCUGAGUUUCUGAAUAUAUUCUUAAUAUAUUUCUGAGAUUCUUAAUGUAUUUCUGGAUUUUUAAUAUAUUUUUGAGUUUUUGUGAAAGUAAUUUGUUUAAGUAUAGCACAUUUAAAACAUUUGAAGUUCAUUUUUCUUUUUCUUUCUUUCUUUUUUCUUUUUUUUUGAGACAGGGUUUUGCUCUGUUGCCCAGGCUGCAGUGCAGUGGUGUAAUCUCGGCUCACUGCAACCUCCACCUCCUAGGUUCAAGCAAUUCUCAUGCCUCAGCUACCGAGUAGCUGGGAUUAUAGGCGUGCACCACUCUACCCGGCUAAUUUUUAAAUUUUUAGUAGAGACGGGGUUUCAGCAUAUUGGCCAGGCUGGUCUUGAACUCUUGAACCUCAUGUGAUCUGUCUGCCUCAGCCUCCCAAAGUGCUGGGAUGAAGUUCACUUUUCUGAUUUUUUGAGAGUCUUGGGAAUAUCCCAUCUUUAUAAGCACUUAUUUAUCUCUUAUGUAAAUCAAUCCAAAAAACACCCCUUUAAUUUAAGAGACUUCAUAAUGUAAUUUUUUGAUACCCCUGGGAGAUAGGAAAAUAUCCAGUUACAAAGAAAGGUGCAAUCUUUUGUGAGUUAUGACACAGAGAUGUACAUAUACAUAGUGAGCUUAAACCUUCAGUUCUAUGUUAGCCACAGGUCAAGAGUUGAUACAGAAAUACCAAAAUACCCUGAAGUAGAUAUCAAAGAGCUGUUCUCCUUUCUGGUGAGCUUGAAAUUCUUGAUCGGUUUUUCUCAAAAGAGACAAAUAGAUAAAAAAGAUGAAUCAAAUUAUACAUGUUCACUUCACUCAAGGGGAAAACAGAUAAGGCCAGGUGCAGUGGCAGGCACCUACAGUCCCAGGCUUGAUGGUUGCUAGAGCCCAAGAGUUUGAGGUCAGCCUGGGCAACAUAGUGAGACGCUCUGAAAAAAAAAAAAA
ensembl:lncRNA